rnacentral:miRNA from 1 species
UCUCUCUGACUCCAUGGCA